CGGUUCCUGGUGUCCCCGGAGUGCCAGGAGUGCCAGGAGUGACACCUGGCGUCGGUGCCGUGCCUGGAUUGGUGCCAGGUGUGGGGGUACCUGGUACUGGCAUCCUCCCCGGGGCAGGCAUCCCCCAAGUAGGGGUUCAACCUGGUGCUAAACCUCCCAAAUUCGGUGUUCCCGGGGUUGGAGUCCCAGGAGUCGGUGGCAUCCCAGGU
rnacentral:lncRNA from 1 species